GAAAAGAGUGGAUUGGACACUAAAUAAUGGCCAGUCUGUUCCCUCGGAAGUUGUAAGUAGCCGGCCCGAUACUGUUAGCUCUCUGAGGAUUUCUUCUGAUGUUCAGUUUUCAAAUGAGAGAUUUGACGGAAAGCUGAAGAUGUGGGAAUUCUGGGAGCCAGUGCAGUGUGGACCUGCUGAGGACAACCGGGAUGUAAGCCAGAAUGGUCAGUCCUUCGGGCCACUAGCACAAGAGUUUGCCUUUCAACCAGCCAAACUUUCAGGAUCUCCUGGAGUUGCAAUGGAACCCUUGUUACCGGAUGACCCACCUCAAGAUUCCCUUUGAUACGGAAGUCACUCAAGAUAAUGCCUUUGCAGUGGAAGAUGUCAGCAAAGGUAUCUUUGUUAGGUUUCAGAGAUUUCUUUUCAAAAUAGUUAUUUUUGUUAUAUUUGAUUAUUGUAUGUGUGUGUGUAUGUGCAUAUCUAUGUGGGUGCCCACAUAGGCUAGCGGUAUCGGGUCUCCCUGGAGUUGGAGUUACAGGCAGAUAGAUGUAAGCUCCCUGACUGAGGUGCCUGUAAGCACCCAGGCUCAUUUACCAGGCCAAGGUCACCAGAUAGGGCCAGGAUGAAAGCCAGGCUUGGGUUGUCAGGGCUACAGUAAGACCAUGGCUGUGAUAGUUUUAUUGAGAGCAAUCAGACUUUCUAUCUCUUUAUCAGAAACAGAAGAUACUAGCAAUUGUCAGACUCGAUGCGGUUGCAGUUGCCAGGACACAGUGAAGUUUGCAGAUUAUACAGGGCACACAAGAUUAAUGCCGAAGACGGAUUGGCCUGUCGAGCUCCCGUGUUUCCUUGACUUCUGAGAACAUACAGAGAAACACAAAGUGGCCUAAUUGCUUCACUGCCUGAGGGAGUGGAUCGGUUUCUCGGGAACUAGAAGACACAUUGUGCCCCAGAAGCCGAGGAUUCUGACUGAAAAUACUUGCCUCUCAAGGCAGCUAGGCCAAGCUAACUCCAUGGUUCCUUGCAGGCACUGAGAACCAGUCAGGGCUCUGCAAGAGCAGUGUGUAUUCACAACUACUGAGCCAUCGCUAGAUAAUACUUCUGGUUUUGUUUUUUUUUGUUUUGUUUUGUUUUUUUUUGGGUUUCUCGAGACAGGGUUUCUCUGUGUAGCCCUGGCUGUACUGGAACUCACUGGCUUUUCUUUUUUUUAGAUUAAUUAAUAGUGAAAUAAAUGAAGCUGGCGGUACCUUGGGGCACAUUUUGGAAUUAUUUGUAAAAUUUAAGUUUAAAGACAAAAUGUAGUGCCAUUGCUUAAAGGUAGCAGGUGUUUCUUAUGUGCACAUUUGUUUUGUGUGGGAAUCGUAUGUACACGUCUUAUAAGCUGCCCUUUUGUUUUGGAGAUGAGGUCAUCUGUGUAGCCCUGUGUGACUUCAAAUUCAUGGCCAUACUCUUGCCUUCAUCUCUCCUGUGCCAGGCUGAUGUUCUUGGACCGCCAUGUCCUGUGGUGUGGGCUUACUUCUCUCUUUAGUCCUCAGGGAGUCCGUGCUGUCAUUCUUGCAUAUGGAGGGCAGCACUUAAAAUGCUCAGACUGACAUCUAUGGUCAUGAUGUUUAUUUUGAUAUUUGAGGAAUGCCUGCGCAGGAGAAUUAAUCACUAUUUUAUGUAUCUCAAUUAUUAUUUCUGGAAAAGGCUAGAAGAAUCUUGGUUAAAAAUGAAAAUCCCUUGACCUGUAAGUACCUCUCGCUGCAGAGCCCUCGAUAUGGUCAGGAGGAAAUGAGUGUUGGCAUUGCCUGGUUGUAAUAGCGCAGAUGUAUUGCAGUUGAAGAGUUGUUACUAUAGCAACCCUGUCUGUGUGACUGCAUGUUCAAUUCUUUUCUUCAGUCUCGCAUCUUUCUGUGACCUACAACAAAGCUUGGAUUGUUGCUCCCAAGAUUUAUUCCCCAUUUCAUUAGUUAGAAUGCAUUUCAGAGCAUUCUGACAACAGUGCAAGAGAGGACACACACACACACACACACACACACACACACACACUGGUGUGUGACCAGAGCUAGAAAUUAGGGAUGUAGUUUCCAUGUAAAUAUUGUAUAUUAACAGAUGCUCUAAGAAAAGAGGCAGCGUGGAUAGACACGGGGUCAUACACUUGACACAGAGCGUGACGUUAAAGUAAACACAUGUGUUGCGAUGCCAGUGCAUUCGUGUCUGCACUUGGUAAGAGCAGAACGCACAUGCGCUUGGCAUGUUUUCUAAAUGUUUUCCUCUUGCACCUGGUUCUGCUGGGAGAAGGAGCACCGCAUGCCGAGGAGGAGUUUAGAGGUCUGGAGAGACCGCUAGAAUGAGAUGAGUGUGCUAAGAGACUGUGAGCGCUUGUGAGGAAGGGAUGAAAGCUCUCAUUUUGUUCCCAGUGCAUGAGUGGCGUCAUCUCAGACCUUGCUCUCUGUGCCGAGGGAAAGCAGUGAGCCCUUUCCUGUGCCGCACACAGCAAUCUCUGUUAAGGUGUGUGUCCCUUCUCCCCUGUGAGGGGCCCUGCAGACACUGAGCUACCAUACAAGGAACAUGCAGCGAGCUUGACUUGACGUAGCUGUGGCCCAUCCGAGAGUCCCUUCUCUGUGGUGAUGGUGCGGAUUUGUGUCAAGGACAGGCUCUGCAAAUGCUUUCGGUUUUGACGUUGCUCUGACUGUUCUCCAUGGCACUGGCCUCACCAACAGCCUCGCUCCAGAUCUUCAUCUGAGCAUCUCACGAGGUCUGUGGCCAUGUGUAUUCACUACAGUCGUUCGGAGAAAGAGCCUUCGGUUUGGGUUGUCACGGCAUACUGACAAGUAGGUUUUAAAGGGCAAACAGAAAUAUAGGAAGAGGCAAUUACAAGGAGAACCUGCUGGGCUGUAGAAGUCCCCUGGUGGUUCCUGCCUUUUUCACAGUACUCAGCACUGGCUGCCAUGUGCUGACAGCCACAGGCCUCUGUAGAAGCUGAGGUAGGCCAAGGAUGUGCUCCUACACACCUGUCCUGGAGGCGCUACCUGCUGUGUGACCUGAAAGAAUUAAUCUCCUCACAGCCUCGGUUUUCUUAACUGUAAAAUAUAAGGAGAUAAUAUCACUUUAGUAACAGGUACUUGGACUAGUGCCUGAGAAAUCAUGGCUUUAGCACGGGUUUAUCUCAUCCUCCUACACCUCCGGGACCAAGGCCUCCAGCAGCACAAAACUGUGGCGUCCUGGAAGAGAGAAAGAUUGAGCCAGGAAACCUGCUUACAGAUUUGCAUCCAUUCCUUAUAACAUCUGUGCUACAAAGAGCCGCACCUCCGGAGCUAAGAAGAGAGUGGAGGUGAGAUGCGCGUACAGAACUGGGCAGAAUGGACUGAAGGAACAGCACAGGCCGGAAAUGCUGGGACGUGGCAUGACCAGGGCAGUAAAGGGGACCCAUCGUGUCUGGACAUGUCUGGGUGUGUGCUUGACGGCAGUGAAGAUCUCUGCUUCCUGUCCUGCUGCUGAGAAGUCCCUGGGAAAAGCCAGGAGCCCAGUGCUGACCCUCAGAGGCCCUCCCACCGCACUCCCACUGGACACCCACCCACACUGGCCUGGGUAAUCCCUCCAGUUGUUGCUCCUGUGUCAAUAAAAAGGAAAGAAAAGAACACUCGGCAAGCAGCAAGAGUGUGAACACAGCCACUGCCUGAUGCCAAGAGCUGUUGCAGCUUCAACUUGCGGAGGAAAGGGAGGCACUGACAGUCCUGUAAUAGCUCUGAGAUUGUGUUAGUAGCCCUUAUGCAAGCAUUGAUCUGUGGCCACAGCUCUAGGAUCUGAAGUCCCCGAAGGCUCUAAAAGCCAAGUAUUGUUCUGUUUAUUCUGUGUGUGUUUUUUUAAAUGGUGGUGAAAUAUACAAUAAAGCCAUUGCCUUAGCUA
rnacentral:lncRNA from 1 species